rnacentral:snRNA from 1 species
AUCGCUUCUCGGCCUUUUGGCUAAGAUCAAGUGUCGUAUCUGUUCUUAACAGUUUAAUAUCUGAUACGUACCACAUUGUGGUACCUUAUAUUAAAUUGAUUUUUGGGACAGGGAGAUGGAAUAGGGGCUUUCUCCGUCCACUCCGCGCAUCAACCUGGUAUUGCAUUUUCGCCGGGAAUGGUGCACCUCCC